GAGGGAAACACAAGGGAGUGAGAUCAUGCUGCGAUAUUGUGCUGGUGCUGGGGAUACAAAGACAAAAGUGGAACGGCUCCAGCCCUCAAAGACCUUAUAUUCUACUAAGGAAUAUAACAUGGGCACACAUAAGGGAAUGCAAGAGCAUAUGUAGCACCUGUCUUGAGAGCACCUCUAUGGAGAUGGGAGACCCAAGCUGAUGCCAUCCUAGACUUCACAAAUUGCUGACCUGUUUGGAUUUGAAUUUUUUGAAACUGUGUUUAAUUUUGGGAGAGAGAAGCUGGCAGCUAAGUCAUUAGCAGGCUGGGCAUUCCAGUCAAGUGCAUGGAAUCAAUCCCAUCCUUCUCUCAGAGCAGAUGCAGCUAUUCUCUUCCUGCCCUCAGAUCUUCUAGGUGGAGUCCUGCCCAAGAUCGAGAAGCAAGUACCAGGAGGAUUUGGGCUCUCAUCUAUUAUCCACGUCCUUCAGAGACUGAUUGAAUGACUUACAAGGGCUGGUCCUUGAAUA